rnacentral:hammerhead_ribozyme from 1 species
AUCCAGCUGACGAGUUCGAAAUAGCACGAAACGUGAGUCCUAGAU